rnacentral:rRNA from 1 species
UACGUAGGGUGCGAGCGUUAAUCGGAAUUACUGGGCGUAAAGCGUGCGCAGGCGGUUGUGCAAGACAGAUGUGAAAUCCUCGGGCUUAACCUGAGAACUGCAUAUGUGACUGCACAGCUAGAGUACGGCAGAGGGGGGUGGAAUUCCGCGUGUAGCAGUGAAAUGCGUAGAGAUGCGGAGGAACACCGAUGGCGAAGGCAAUCCCCUGGACCUGUACUGACGCUCAUGCGCGAAAGCGUGGGGAGCAAACAGG